AUGCUGGUGCAAGAAGGAGCCCGUGGUGACGGCUCCGGUGACCGAACAGAGUCCGGCCAGCCCUCCGGAUCGAGCACAACUGCGGUAAAGAGACGAGGCCCGAAGAGAAAGUUGCGCUCGGAUGAAAGGUUUGAGAUCACAGCAAUCGCGCGCGACGGCCAACCGAUUGAACCCCUCCGGACAAAGGAUGCUUUUGCUGCUCAGUGCGGGGUUCUAGUUAGGGACAAGAUCCCGAUCAGCAUCAACCAAUGGUAUAAGCCUAAGAAGGAAGACCCUGAGGUGUCUUAUGUCAAUGAUAUGCAGAAAGAUGAUCUUUGGACUGAGCUGAAGGCAAAUUUCACCCUACCGCCAGAGGAGGAUCCGGAGAAGCCAGUUAUAGAGCAAUUAAUCAAGUCUCAUGCUCUUAAGAAGAUGGCAGACCUAUUCAGGAGGUGGAAGAAUGAGCUGAAAACGUUUGUCGACAAAGAAGAGACACCUGAAUUCAUCGGCCGGUAUGAGAAGAUCAGAGAUCACUGGCCCGCAUUUGUGGCCCACAAGACAUCGAAAAAGAGUAAGAAGAUGUCAGCGACAAACAAGAUGAAUGCUGCGAAGAAGAAGCUUCACCAUCGCACGGGGUCAGGUGGCUACCUCAAAGCCCGGCCUAAGUGGGCCAAGUCUGAGAGGGAUCUGCUUGAUAAAGGGAUCGAACCACAGACAAUGAACUGGCCAGACCGUUGCCGGACUUGGUUCUUCGGGGCUGGCGGAACCUUGGACCCUGUAUCAGGGAGGUGUCGUUGGACGGACGAGCAACUUGCAAUACCCGUCAAGAAGAUUCAGCACUAUAUCGAUGCAGCGCAGCAAGGGACGUUCAUUCCAGACAGAGAGAACGACGAGCUCACAAUGGCCCUCGGGAAUCCUGAGCACCCUGGACGGACACGAGGCACGCCAGGCUCCGUUCCGUGGAAGGCUGGUUUUCCGGACGCGGGCAAUUACAAAACCCAGGAGAGGAGGAAAAAAGUGGAGCAGAUCCAAAUUCAGCGUCUGCACGAAAGGGUUCAAGUGCUAGAGGAACGAGACAGCAAUAGAGAUGCCGAAACUGCCCCCGAAGCUACACCGCCAUCUCAGCGUAGAAGCAGCGUGGCUUCCACCGAGCUGCCUCAGCUGGAGCAUGCGGCUACUCCUAGCUACCCCGUGGAUGCUAUCACGGAGUCUCAACAUUGCCACCUUAUGGCGGAAUGGCAGAACUUGAAAGUCAAGGCGGCUGUUGGCUCUGUUUUACCUACUGAACCCGGCGCAACCUACCACUGCCGGCCGAUUCCUGAAGGAUAUGCUAGGGUGAUGGUGGAUGAAAUAACGGAGGGAUUUGAGGACCUCCAGCUUGACCACCCUACCGGUGAAGGGGAGACUCGGCUGGGUUUAGCUCUGAAGACUCCAUGCCUAUGGCGGAAGGAGCUCAUCAAGCUUCCGAACUGGACGGCUCCGGCGAGUAAGGGCACUCCGCCUCCUCCUCCGCCUCCUCCUCCGGCGAGUGAUCAGGGCACUCAGCCUCCUUCUCCGGCGCGUGGCGGCACUCCGCCUCCUUCUCCGCCAGCGCCGGCGCGCCAGAGCAGCCAGCCUCCUCCUUCUCCGCCUCGUCAGCAAGGGCGGAAGAGACCUGCCGCCGCUGCGGCUGCUCCGGCGCGUCGUAGUCCUUCUCCUCCGCCUCGUAAGCAAGGAAAGAAGAUAGCCGCAGCCGCUCCGUCUGCUCUGCCGGCGACUAGCAGUACAGCUGCCAGAGGCGGGAGGCAAUACAGAUUCGGUCCUUCUCUGAAGACUCCAGAGAAGUUACCAUAUGAGAGGACCGAGGAGGAGAACGCGAAGAUCGUGCGAGCCGAAGUGAAGAACUUCUUUGAAGGGGUCAAAGCAAAGAAACAUCCACCUCCGGAGGAGAAGGUAGAUCCGGUGAAAGCAAAGCGCACUCUGGCUGCCCUGACAAAACCACCAAAGUCUCUGCCAAAAGGCAACUAUGAGCGCGUUCUUGCAAAGGCAUAUGCCGAAGUGGAGCGGUCGGGAAGUACUGUCAGUGAUAAAAGGAUGAAAGAACGACGAGCUGGGAAAAAAAUUGCCCAGCUCGGCGAACAAGAGAACCAAUCGUGCCCCCCGCUCAAGGUGUCAAAAGACAUCGUCGCUAAUGAUCCGGGUAUGGUGCCCGGUUAUACCGAUCUUGGAGAUUACCUGCCCGACGAUGUACAUUAUGAAAUCAUGGAGGUGGACGAACACAAAUACCAUUACGGGAAGCCUCUCGUCAAAGAUGUCAAAUCUCUAAGCACGAUGAUGCGAAGACUACAUGAUUGGUACAUGAAAACCUGCAGAGAGUCUGAUGGGAUGAGUACUUUAACGCUGAGAGUUAAACCGGAGCAUGACCUCGUUGGAAUUGAACUGCUGAAUGCUCCAUUUGAGGAUUUCUUCCAGUUUUAA
rnacentral:rRNA from 1 species